rnacentral:lncRNA from 1 species
GCUUUAGCGUGGUGGCACCCCGCCACCCAUCACCUGCAAGUCUAGCGGCCCGCCUUAAGCCUAUCUGCCACUUUAAUUAAUUAAAACCCAACAAAGGUUCACGGGAUAACCUUUUCCCUUCCCCAUCGCUGAAACAAUUACCCUUCAACCCCUUUCCUCUCCCCUAACCGCCGACCACCCCCUCACAUAUCACCCACCUUCUCGCCGUCAACCUCCAUAACCACCGAAUAACCCCUACUCUUCACUGCCGAUAUUACCCCUUAUUCCACAGACAACACAUCCCCUUCAACCAUUAGCCCACCAUGUUUUGUCCCCUACCCCCACUACCAAUAACCCACAUUGUCACCUAACCUUUUAUCACCAUUAAACUUUUUCACCCACUGGUUACCCACCGAAGAACAAAAGAAAAGAACCAUAAAAAAAAAAAAUCUCCAUUACCACCUACUCCCUCACUCAUCCGAUUUCAACCAUCCAUUCACCAUAUUUCACUUAAAGUCUAAAUUGUUCUUUGGGAUUCAAGUUUCAAACGAAAAAUCUCUCAAUCUCUUCUUAUUUCUCUCAAAUCCAAGAAUGUCAUGUUCAGGAUCAUGCAGUCGGCCAACAGGAAACGAGGCCAGAUACUCACCGAAGAGUGGGACACAGGCGGGUGAUGAGGUGUUGGAUGAUGCGGAGUAGAGCGAGGAUGACAGCUUAUGUCUUUUGUUUAUUUUUAUCUUUAUGCUGUUUUUAAUCCUCGUUUGUUGGUUUGUACUUAAAUACGUUAAACAGUGUUUGGUGUUUGCUUGAUUAGGUUGGUAUUAGUAGCCGCUUUCGUUCGCGUGUCCGAGAUUAGAGUUGUUUGCUGAGCGCGUUUCGAAUUGGAGGGCUUAUGUGGAAACGACUGGCACUUUGACAGUCUCACAUACUCAGCUAAGUCGUUUCCCUUUUUGUUGUUGUUGUAUAUUUUUUAUUUAUUUCAUUUGCAGUUUUUUUUAGGUAGUUGUUGAGUCGUAUUUUCGUUCUUGCAUUAGGGACAAUGCAAUCUCUAAGUGUGGGGAUGGGAUACUUGUAAAUAUUUGAGUCAUAAAUAUGAAAAAACACAAAAAAAUUAAAAAAAUUGAAAAAUCCAAAAAAAAUAGAAAAAUAGAAAAUGUCUUUCGAAUAAAAAAAAAGAAGUUUGCAUUUUUUUUAAGCGGAAAGUGAUAGAAAAGAUGAAUUUUUGCUCGGGUUCGAAUAAUAAUAAUAUGAGAUUAUAAUAAAUCGAGCUUGCGUCUAGUUAGGGAUAUGUGGAUAGGCUCGGGUUUGGUUUUAAGUCCCUUUGAUCUAAUAUACCUUAAUUGUCGGUUUACUAGUGGGUUUUCGCCUGAGAGAUAUGGGAAAUUAAAACCGCCAAUAAUAGUAUAAGGGGCACCGUUAUAAGUUAAAACUUUCAGAGUUUGUGGUCAUGAAAAAAAAAAGGAAUAAAAAGUGAGCUAGAAACUAAAUGAAAGUAACACAGGUCUAUGUAAUCCGAGUUGGGGAUAGCGACUCUACAGCCGGAAUGCCUCUGGGAUGUGUGAAAUCGAAUUGCCGAUUAAAAGUACCGAAACCUAAGUAAUCUGUGGUUGGGGAUAGCGACUCUACAGCCGGAAUACCUCUUGGUUAGGGAAAGCAUCGUCUAGACUCACGAGUGAAAAAAAAAGAGAGCAAGAAGCAAAGCAAAAAUAGAAAAAAAAUGGAAAAAAGAAAAAAAAUUGAUUGUAAACUCUUUUGGUUUUGAUAUAAGACGGUUGGGAAUUGGUCAAAUGAUCGUUCCUUUAGUCCUAUAAGCUUGAGGCGGGAGUAGGUGGACUGUAGAUUCUAGUGUGAGGCCCUAGGUAGACUGACUGCACUUAAAUUAAAUUCACAUGAUAAGGGCUUAGGAUUGGAUUCGGGUUUAAGGGGACAAGUAUAUUCGCAAUCGCGGCUAACGCAAGUCUUGGUUUUAAUUAAAUAUAUCUAUGCUUUUGACCCGAGUGAUUAUUUGUUUCUGAUUCCGUUGCAUAAUUCUUUUUCGAGGACGAAAAAAGAGUAAGUGUGGGGAUGUUUGAUGUAUUGCAAAAUACAUCUUUUAUUCGUGUAAAGUUUGUAUAGUUUUCGUUAUAUUUAGUUUUGAUUUUCAUUAGAAUAUGCAUGCUAUUAAUUAAAUCGUGUUUCGCAGGUCUUGAUGCUCAAAUAUGCGAGAAACCGAGUAAAACAAGUUAAAAUAUUGAAGUGUCAAGUCUUGAAGCAUGUUGGGAAGGUCGAGGAGUUGAAAUAGAGUUUAAAAGCUGAAAAAUCACUUUCUGGCACCCCAUCACCCACUAAGCAAGUUUCUGGCACCUGGCGAGAGUCUGAAGUUAAUACAUGAUGAGCUGAAAAACAAGGUGGCACCCCACCACCCAGUCCCUGAUCUUGUGGCACCCAGCCAGAAGCCUGUAGUUGGCGAAUUUUGUUAUGGAAAGUCAUAUAAACAUCCUAAACGUGGGAAAAACCCUAAUUUAGACUUUGGGGACUUCUUGGGCAAUAGUUGAGCAUUCUUGGAGUUUUUUCGGAGAUUUUGAAGCCUAGGAAUCAUCGGUACGAGUUCGGGGAAGAAGACUUGAAGAUCUAAUCGGGUUUUCUAGUUCUUUGUUCUUGACUUUUCUUACGAAACUUGUUACAAUGAAUUCUUUGUUGAACAUAUUUGAAUUGUUUUCGUUUAUGAACAUGCUCGGCUAGAUU